GAGGGUGAACGGCCACAUUGGGACUGAGACACGGCCCAGUACUCUUACGGGAGGCAGCAGUGGGGAAUAUUGCACAAUGGGGGAAACUAUGAUGCAGCGACGCCGCGUGAAGGAAGAAGUAUUUCGGUAUGUAAAACUCUAUCAGCAGGGAAGAAAUGACGUACCGACAAGAAGCUCCGGCUAAAUACGUGCCAGCAGCCGCGGU
rnacentral:rRNA from 1 species